rnacentral:lncRNA from 1 species
AUCCAAAUUUGAAACUGACUAUAGUCGACCUAGUUUACAAAGUGAAUACACAAAAAUAGAUAUUCCCUACUUCCGGUUAACGGUUACAAUGUAAACAUGAACGCUGUGUAGCAAAAGACUACAAUUAUGAAAGAUUAUCGUUAUAAAUGAAUGUGUAAAAGGUAAUUCCAUACAACUUUAACAUAUAUAAAUGAUUUGUUAUGCAGUUCCUAUGAAAAUUACUCCGCAUAACAUCUGAGUCGCGAAUGACAACCUAAAAUGUGCUACGAACUCCCGGUAAAAUCAUUACCAAAAUAUUGCGGGAAUUAUGAAAUAUAAAAAUGAACUGCACAAACUAUUUGCAUUAAACAACGUAAUAACUUCUAUCACGAAAGUAAAUUAAGUUAAUUAGCUUUGGCACAACACUGCCUCCCGUCAAAUAAAGAAUUCUGUCCGCAGAAUUAAAAAUGAACAAUUUAACAUUUAUCAAGCUUUUUGAAAAAGUUAUUCAUGAAUUCAAUCAAUAUUAGCACUAACCAAAAAGGAAUCAUUAAAAUGAAAAAUUUAAUUAAACUCUUCCUUAAAAAUUUUAAGAAACUUUUUCUUAUUCAUACAAAUAUACAAAUAUAUACAUGCGCA